rnacentral:tRNA from 2 species
UCGGGAUAGCUCAGUUGGUAGAGCAGAGGACUGAAA